UACGGAGGGUGCAACCGUUGCUCGGAUUCACUGGGCGUAAAGGGUGCGUAGGCGGUCGGGUAAGUCUGAUGUGAAAUCUCACAGCUUAACUGUGAAACUGCAUUGGAUACUAUUCGGCUUGAGAGUUGGAGGGGGGACUGGAAUUCUUGGUGUAGCAGUGAAAUGCGUAGAUAUCAAGAGGAACACCAGUGGCGAAGGCGAGUCCCUGGACAACUUCUGACGCUGAGGCACGAAAGCUAGGGGAGCAAACAGG
rnacentral:rRNA from 1 species